UACACAACUCUCACUUUACUCUAUUUUUUUUUUCGUUUUUAAAAAAAAGAAAUACUCGAAUAGUCGUAUUCUUCCACCUAUCUCAUCAAACUUAAUCAGCCCAUUUAUUCACAAACCACCCUCAAUUUUUCAUUCUCCGCUGACCUCAAUUUUUCAUACUCCGCUGAAAUCCUCUGAAGCUCCUUCUAAAUUCAAUCAUCGAAAAAUAUCAUCAAGUUGCAAAGUCAGGUUUAAUUUCAUAGUAACCUGGGGUUAACGAACAUUAUCCUUUAGAGAAGUCGGCUGGCGAGAGAUUCGAGCGCAAGAGCGCAAGUCUUGAAGAUCCUAGAUGGCCUAGCAACAAAUGUAGUUUCUCACGCAUAUUGGGAGGGCCAAGAGGACUACGAGUUACUACGAGGAGCAUGGACUGUGAGUUACUACAGAAUGUGCUUAUAAUGUAAUCAGAUAUGUGUACGAUAUAGUCUCUUUCCAUGCAUAAAGAAUGCAAGGGUAAUUUGUGAAAGGAGUAUUUGACAAGAGAUGCAGCCUACAAUGAUGUAGAAUCGCCCAAGGUUCAGAAACAAUAAUUGGCUAAGUUUUUUAGAUUAAAUUUGUUAUCGUAAGACUAAAUCUUUGUUGAUAUUGUAAUUAAUUGCAUUUACUUAGCUCAUUAAAACAAUAUGAGUAUGACAUUUCUUAUUUCUAUCUAGUCUCGUUUAUAUUUAUUCCUGUUUAUUAUUAUUACUUUCUAAAUUUAUAAGCAAAUUCUUUUUUUAUAAUGUUCCAGAUCUAACCUGACAACCCGUAUCCAGGAUCUGUGAAGACCUUAUUGUCCAGCUAAGUACCUACAUAGGAAAUAAGGAUUAGCUAACCCCGGGUUGGCUUCGGGGAUAACCACUCUGAUGGUAAAGUCAGAAAGUAUUUUAGAAAAAGAAGAGAAAGUAUUAAGGAAGAGAAUAAGAGAGAGAGAGAGAGAGAGAGAGAGAGAGAGAGAGAGAAAGAGAGAGUGAGAGAGAGCAUUUAUUGUUACCUUUGUUUAAAGAGUUGGAUUGGUUAUUUAUAGUAGAAUGUUCUCCCAAGUGGCUGCAUGCCAUGCAAACAAUGUACAUGCCAAGUGUUGGUUAUCCCACGCCACGUGGUGUGCGCAGAUUAACCAUGGCCCUUACAGUUAUGAGUGAAUACCGAUAUGAGCAUUCUGUUGUACGGUUGUAACCCGACCUAUUUCCAAAAGAGUUAAUAUCGGCCCAUGUCCCUUAUCGGUAUCAUCCCAUACAACUAACCCCCCAAGUGAGGACGUCUAUACAACUGAUGUUCUCACUUAUUCACAAGUUGUCCUUAGCAGGGAAUUUUGAUUAGAAUUCCUUCAUUUCUUCCUUAGGAGACUGAGUUCUCAUUUGAUUUCAAUCAUUUCUACUUUUAGGAGACCAAGUCCGCUUUUGAAUUCAUUCAUUUCAACCUUUGGGGACUUAGUUUUGAUUGGAACCAAAGUAUUUCAAUAUUAGUGAUUUUCUCUACUUUAUUUCCAGGGUGGGAGCAAAAAAUCUUCGAUUUGCUCCCCAAGUGAGCUUGUAUGCUGAUAGCAAAUAAGCUCUACUUUAUACUUAGGUUGGGAGCAAAAAACGUCUGACUUGCUCGAGCGGAAUACUAAACGUUAUAAAUUUUUUUCUUAUUUCCUUUUCUUUUCUUUAUUUUUUUUAAGGCGGGAAGUUUGACUAGUCAAGGGACACGUGUCGUAGAUUCGGCCAAAUAGUUUUGAAUUUACAAAAUUUCUCGACCCUUGGAUUUCUGACCGACCCAUCACAUCACCCGUCUUCUUUUAAAUCUAUAAAAACUAUAUUUCCUUCCCCUUUUUCCUUUUCAUGUUCCUUAAAAACCUCUCGAAAUCACACUUAAGCGAAUUCGAAGCGUUUCUAUGUAAGCUUAACAACGACUAUCAAGCGUUCUCAAGUGCAGCGGGAUUGGAGUUCGGCACUUUUUCUACUUUUAAGGGCGUUUUUUGAUAGAAAAUUCGAAGGUAUUCACGAACCUUAACUUUAAUUUUUCAUGUUUUGAUUUUUACGAUUUUAGCGUAGUUGGCAUUCAUAAAUGUCUGAUUGUAGUUUUGAAGAGGAACAAACCACCCUUAGUAUUGUUAGGCGUCGCCUUAUUAGGCAAUCUGUGGGUAAAGAUAUCAGUAAAGUUCAAGACACAACGUCGUCUCUUUCUGAUAACAUUGACGAUCCGUUUUAGCCGCUAACUGCUAAAGAACAAAAGCAAGCCUCUUACCGUCAUAAGGUUAUAGCUGAUUGUGAAAGAUCUUGCCGACCUAACAAUCCUGAUUUACCCGACGACAUUGAGGUCCUUGACGUCGAGCUAGUUAGCGUCCGAUAUCACCUACGCAGCUUCGCAGAUAAGCUAAACCUUGAUCAAUACGGCUCUAACAUUAGUCAUAUCGGGGUUAGAACCACCACGAUGCCAAGGGUUAAACAGACUAGUUACCAGCCACAUGUUGCCCUUAACGCUUCUCCUGAUAAAGCUGAACCUAGGAAAAGGCCCGGUAAAGCACAGGUGGUCAGUUCUGAUGAGUCAGAAUCUGAAGAUCGUGAGGUAAGCCAAAAUGGCGACAGGCGGUCCAAAUCUCCUGUGCAUGAAUCUGUCGUCAACUCCGUUCUCGGCGAUGAGGAAGAUGGCGGUGAGGAGGUAAACCAAAACGAAGGCAGGAAUGUUGGGAAGGAGGAAGAUAUUAUGGAUUUGUUGUCGCAAGUUACAAAAGAGGAAGGCCUAGAUGAAGUCUAUAACUCCGAGGAGGACGAUGCGGAGUACCGACAUCCUAUUAAUAUUGAUUCUAACAGGAUAUGAAUUGAAUUGACCUUGAUGGUCAGGAGGACGAUGCAAUAAUAUGGAUAUGAAUUGACCUUGAUGGUCAGUAACGAUUCUAUCGGCUUCCUGAUGGAUAUGAAUUGACGAUGCGCAAGUCAUGAUGGUCAUGUUGCCAUUUACGCCAAGCAUCUUGAUUUCGGCCUCCGCUUCCCUAUUCAUCAUUUUAUUGUCAAGAUUCUGCGAGAACCUUUGUCUUGUACAACUCACCCCGCUGACUAUUCAGAACGUAGUAGCAGUUGUUUGGGUUAUGCUAUACAAGAAUUUUCCUUUAACCCUCAACUUGUUCAGGAGACUUCAUUGGCUAAAGCGGGAUGGCCAAUCUGAAGGAUGGUGGUCAAUUUACACAGCUUCUCACAAGUAUACCGUCCACCGCAAGCUAUCCAGUUGCGAAGGCUGGCAAGAAAAGUUUUUAUUUAUGCGUGUUCCAGACGACUUCCCAAUUAGAAGGACUUUCUACCGUCCUCACUCGCGUUUUGAUUCGAUUGACGGGAGAGGUCUUGGAGUUCAAGAACGCAGAGCCUGUGAUUAUUUUGGCAUAGAAGAGAUUGAACUUGACGAGGAUACUGUACAGAUAGUCCCUAGGGUGUGGCUGCUGAAUGUGAAAUAUAUUCUCAGCAACGCUCCUUUGUCUCAUAUCGGUCUCUGUACUACUGGUAGUUUUGGUAUUGCUCUUGUGUUUUGCAUAUAUGUUACUAAUAUUUUAUUUCUUAUCUCUGAUGUCGGAGAACCCCUUACUGCCUAUCGGUUUGUAUCCUGCUAUGUUUAUUCUUACCUAGUAUGACUUAUUUGGUGCAUGCGUUGACAAACUAGAUUGGAAAGUCCUAGGGCUAUCAGUUGACGAAAAAAGAGUUUUGAAAUGCUGCCCUUCUUCUCCCAAGCCUGCUUACGAUACACUUGCUACCUAUUGCAACCGAUCUUCUUCGCAAUCACGAAAUUCGAAGAGAAAAGCUGAGAGAACGACAGACGACAACGCCAGAAAAAGCUCUAGACGCAUUGUUUCACUUGCUAACAGACGUGGUGGAAUGAGUGGAGCCUCUGGUUCAAGGAAAGAAGAUGAGCAGGUCGCUAAGAGAGCGAAGACGAGUGAGGAGCAGUAGAAACAACAAGCUCCUCAGCACAAGGAUCAAGACCCUCAGCAGCAAACCCAGCCACAACAACAUGUACCACCUGAACUUCCUCUCCAGCCAUCAAAGAAAUCUGUGCCGGAAGGGGUUUUAGUGGAAGAUAUUGUAGAUUCUCCACUUCUCAUUCAGCCUACAACAACAGUUCACCCUGCGCCUUAAGCUAAGGCUCAUACUGGCUCUGAUGUGAGCACACUCGGUAUUGUAAACCAGGCAAACCAGUGGAUAGAGCAGCCAUUCGGUAAGAUUCCUGACGAGGUGGUAAAGAGGUUCACCGUUCCUGACGGCAGUUCCCGGGACCGAUGGCAACCAGAGCUGGAUGUAUGCCGCAAUGAAUCUAUCUUUACCGACGACCCACUUCAGGGCGGUAACUUGGGAUAACGGUUGCUUCGUAAUCUGGCAACUCCUAUUGAUAGGCCCGCUGGCCUUGUCGGCCUAGUUGCUUCACAACAUAUGCAUGAUUUAAUGAAGGCCAUUGCCUCCGGCACCGAGCUUGUCGAGAUGUAUCGGUGUUAUCAAGAGCAACACUAUCAGGCUUUGCUGAACCAGUAAACCAUAGAAACGGCUGUGAAGAAUGCAUAGAAGGCCCUUGACGGCAUUAGAGCGGUGAAAAAGAAGGAUGACGAGGAGCUAAAAGCUCUUAGGGAGAAGGCCGACAAGUUCAAAGCUGCUGAAGAUGAGAUUAAAUCCCUCUAUUAACAAUUGGAAGAAAAAUCCAAGGUUGCUGCUCGGCUGCCGGUGGUUCAAAAGGAACUCGAUGAUGUCAAGGGUACUGCCGGCCUUUUAGAGGAGAAAGUCCAAAAAAUGGAGGCUAACAAACCUGGCAUCCGGCAGAGAGCUGUCAGUCGGUACCUGAGGUGUGAUGACUUCAUAGAAAGACUUUAAAACCGUUACGACGGUGGGUGGAUUGCAGCUCAACGGUGUGUUGUUAAGGUUACUAGUUGGACGAAACCUGAUUGGGCGAAGGUCGAGGCAGCCUUCAACAACAAGGCUCAUGAGCAUGCUACUAGUUUUGAGCAACAACAAUUUUCUGAUGAGGUUCUCUUCAAUGCUGAUCCUAGUGAAGAUGACACUUUAGUGGACCCCAACCUUCUGAACUCUCCCAUACUUGAGGGAACGCAAGAACCUCAAGCUUGAAGGGGCGGGCAGUCAUCACCGAUAUCAUCAUGCGGCUCAUGUGUACUUGGGCCUUAUCAACAUUGAUGUUUUUGAAUUUUUUGUUUAGCGUAAAACUCUUUUUCUUUUGCUUGUGCUGUUUAUCGGCAUGUACCCUUUUUGUGGUGAUGCCUUUCGAAUGUAUAUUGUUACUUUAAUUAUCACUUUUCUACUUUGAUCAUGGUUACUGUCAUCAUUAUAUACAUCUUAAAAAUGAUGACGUCUUAAAAAUGACGCUUAUAUAACAAGAAUGUUUCA